rnacentral:rRNA from 1 species
GACGAACGCUGGCGGCGUGCUUAACACAUGCAAGUCGAACGAAGAGCGAUGGAAGCUUGCUUCUAUCAAUCUUAGUGGCGAACGGGUGAGUAACGCGUAAUCAACCUGCCCUUCAGAGGGGGACAACAGUUGGAAACGACUGCUAAUACCGCAUACGAUCUAACCUCGGCAUCGAGGAAAGAUGAAAGGUGGCCUCUAUGUAUAAGCUAUCACUGAAGGAGGGGAUUGCGUCUGAUUAGCUAGUUGGAGGGGUAACGGCCCACCAAGGCGAUGAUCAGUAGCCGGUCUGAGAGGAUGAACGGCCACAUUGGGACUGAGACACGGCCCAGACUCCUACGGGAGGCAGCAGUGGGGAAUCUUCCGCAAUGGACGAAAGUCUGACGGAGCAACGCCGCGUGAGUGAUGACGGCCUUCGGGUUGUAAAGCUCUGUUAAUCGGGACGAAAGGCCUUCUUGCGAAUAGUGAGAAGGAUUGACGGUACCGGAAUAGAAAGCCACGGCUAACUACGU